rnacentral:rRNA from 1 species
UCCUACGGGAGGCAGCAGUGGGGAAUAUUGGACMAUGGGCGCAAGCCUGAUCCAGCCAUGCCGCGUGAGUGAUGAAGGCCCUAGGGUUGUAAAGCUCUUUUGUGCGGGAAGAUAAUGACGGUACCGCAAGAAUAAGCCCCGGCUAACUUCGUGCCAGCAGCCGCGGUAAUACGAAGGGGGCUAGCGUUGCUCGGAAUCACUGGGCGUAAAGGGUGCGUAGGCGGGUCUUUAAGUCAGGGGUGAAAUCCUGGAGCUCAACUCCAGAACUGCCUUUGAUACUGAAGAUCUUGAGUUCGGGAGAGGUGAGUGGAACUGCGAGUGUAGAGGUGAAAUUCGUAGAUAUUCGCAAGAACACCAGUGGCGAAGGCGGCUCACUGGCCCGAUACUGACGCUGAGGCACGAAAGCRUGGGGAGCAAACAGGAUUAGAUACCCUGGUAGUCCACGCCGUAAACGAUGAAUGCCAGCCGUUAGUGGGUUU